GACGAACGCUGGCGGCGUGCUUAACACAUGCAAGUCGAACGGAAAGGCCCUGCUUUUGUGGGGUGCUCGAGUGGCGAACGGGUGAGUAACACGUGAGUAACCUGCCCUUGACUUUGGGAUAACUUCAGGAAACUGGGGCUAAUAUCGGAUAGGAGCUCCUGAUGCAUGGUGGGGGUUGGAAAGAUUCGGCGGUUGGGGAUGGUCUCGCGGGUUAUCCGCUUGUUGGUGGGGUAGUGGAUUACCAAGGCUUUGACGGGUAGCCGGCCUGAGAGGGUGACCGGCCACAGUGGGACUGAGAUACGGCCCAGACUCCUACGGGAGGCAGCAGGGGGGAAUAUUGCACAAUGGGCGGAAGCCUGAUGCAGCAACGCCGCGUGCGGGAUGACGGCCUUCGGGUUGUAAACCGCUUUCGCCUGUGACGAAGCGUGAGUGACGGUAAUGGGUAAAGAAGCACCGGCUAACUACGUG
rnacentral:rRNA from 1 species